rnacentral:rRNA from 1 species
GACGAACGCUGGCGGCGUGCCUAAUACAUGCAAGUCGAGCGGAUUUGUUCCUUCGGGGACAAGUUAGCGGCGGACGGGUGAGUAACACGUAGGUAACCUGCCUAUAAGACUGGGAUAACUAUCGGAAACGAUAGCUAAGACCGGAUAACUGGUUUUCUCGCAUGAGAGAACUAUGAAACACGGAGCAAUCUGUGACUUAUAGAUGGGCCUGCGGCGCAUUAGCUAGUUGGAGGGUAAUGGCCUACCAAGGCGACGAUGCGUAGCCGACCUGAGAGGGUGACCGGCACACUGGGACUGAGACACGGGCCCAGACUCCUACGGGAGGCAGCAG